GGCUCGUUGGUUUAGGGGUAUGAUUCUCGCUUAGGGUGCGAGAGGUCCCGGGUUCAAAUCUCGGACGAGCCC
rnacentral:tRNA from 2 species